rnacentral:rRNA from 1 species
GCACGUAGUUAGCCGGUGCUUAUUCUUACGGUACCGUCAUUAGCCCUCUUUAUUAGAAAAGGCCGUUUCAUUCCGUACAAAAGCAGUUUACGACCCGAAGGCCUUCAUCCUGCACGCGGCAUGGCUGGAUCAGGCUUGCGCCCAUUGUCCAAAAUUCCCCA